ensembl:snRNA U1 U1 spliceosomal RNA
CUCCUCACCUAACAGGGAAAACUGAGAUCAGCAACAAGGCCUUCCUGGGUAAAGAUAUUAUUUGAAUUCCAAGUAUGCUGACUCAUGUGGUUUUCCUGAAUGUGGAAAAACUGACUGCAUAAUUUGCAGUGAAAACUGUAUUUACACCUUUGAA